UGAUCAGUGGAUUGUCUGGUCCAGACUCUAUUAUUUACUGACUGCCACCAUAUAGCUGGAAUAUUGCUGAGUGGGGCGUUAAACAAAAAUCAGUCAAUCCUUGGAAGACAUUUGAAUAUGUACAAGCUCAUGAUGUCAAUUAAUGGACUGUCUGACUUGAUUAUUCACCAGCCACCAUAAUGUAGUUGGAAUACUGCUGAGUGUAUGCAUUCACAACAGUCGAAAUAAUCUAGUAAGCUGCAAAACACAUGAAGUUUCCCACUGUGGUGAGUGAACCUAGAGACACACGUCAUGCUGUUCAAAACCUUUAGGGAUGCCACGAAUCCCCACGAUACAUCGAUACUUUUUCUAAGACGAUACAUCUAUUGAUACAUUCAAAACUGUAUUGAUAUUUAGUUUUAAAGUAUAGGUUUAAAUAUGUACCAUGUUUUUUUAUGUUAUGAGAGUUAUAAAUGAUUAUUUUUCAUGCACAAUGAUGGGAAAUUAGAACUUUUUAAUCUAUGAGAAUAAAAAAUGUUGAUCUUUUCAUGGACAAUUAUAAAAUAUGAAAUAUUAAUGUUCAAAAUGUAACUAAGUUUAUGCAAUAAUGCCGCUAAAAUAGGUAUUGUGAUACGUAUCGAUUCAUGAAACUUAUGUAUCGUGACAUCCCUAAAAACCUUGAAGGGGAUGGGGGAGGACAUUUUCACAAUCAGAUAAUCUUGAGUGUCUCUGGUGUCGGGGAGCCUAGUGGUUAAAGUGUUCGCUCGUCACGCUGAAAGACCAGGGUUUGAUUCCCCACAUGAUUACAAUGUCGGAAGCCCUUUUCUGGUUACCCAAGCCGUGAUAUUGCUGGAAUAUUGAUAAAAGUGGCGUAAAAACUACAACUCACACUCACUAGUGUCGAAUCUGAAUAGUGUGUCAAGUGGGGGGAAAAUUACUCACAUGAGAUACAGUAACACGCUUUGUAUCAUUAUGUGUCAAGGCUCUUAGGUGAAGUGGUUUGGGAAAGCAAGGAGCGGGGACGUACACCUAGUUGGGUUAUCAAAGUGGCAUUUGACUUGUCCAAUGUAGUGAUUGUGGAAGAGGAUUUGGACAUUCAAGUAACCUCAAGACAAACAUAACAUCCUGAAGUGGUGUCAACCCUAUGAGAUGGUGCUGUAAGAGUCUGGCAACCUGCAUUUCCACAUGACGUGCCAAGUAGUAGUUGUAGUUGUAGUAGUAGUUCUUUAGUAUUUGCUCUUUGUAGAGAAUCUGUGUUGAAUAUGCCCUGAAUAUUAAAUAAAUAAGAAGAUCAAACACAGUGACUUGGUUGACUGCGUUUCUUCAGACCCAGACAUCAUCUGUUGUUGCUCAUAAUAUCGAUCACUGAUUCUCAACACACCAAUAUUCACAUACAUUAAAUAUUACAUGUUGCAUUAAGCAGUAAGGAAAUUGUUUGACUUGUGAGAAUAUCAGAGUUAAACCAGCUCUUUUGAAUAUGAGUUACCUUCUCAGAUAUUACAAGGAUAAUUAUAAUAAGAUAUAAAAGUUCCACACUGUUUUAUUGAUGUGUCAUCACGAUUUUGUUAGUGAGAUAAGGGUUUCGAUUUGAAACUGAUUUUGUCGAGAAUGUAUUUUAUAAGGUAUGUGAAUAAACAGUUCAUGAUUUGCA
rnacentral:lncRNA from 1 species